GGCUGAUUUGCUAUCCAAUGAAAAAAUUUACCAAAUGCCAGGUAAAACACUCUCAACGGAUGAAUGAUCCUCCCCUCAGACCUUGGGUAGCAAUAGCGAAAGAUGGUCAGAUCCUGUGCUGCCACUGUACCUGCAUGGCUGGAUUGGGUGAAACAUGUUCACAUUCAGCAGCAUCCCUGUUCGCCCUGGAGACAUGAAUACGUAUGAAGACGGCCACUUCAUGCACAUCACUACCUUGUCAGUGGCUGAAACCAUCAGCAUCGCACAUAGAAUAUGCUGAAGGAUGCAAUAUCGAUUUUGCCCGUCCAGCCCAGAAACGAAAGUCAGAAGUUUCAACUCCUGAGGAAAGUGCUGCGAGAAAACUGCUGAAUGUUCCUCCACCAACUGAAGAGCAGAAAGCUGCCUUUUACAAGGCUUUGUCUGAAUGCGGUGGAAGACCAGCAAUUUUGAGCAUUGUCCCUGACUAUGCUGACAACUUUGUGCCAAGGGCAGUGAAGCGAAAGCUGCCUGUACCUCUCUCACAGCUGUACGAUUCUGGCAAUAUGAAACUCAGCCCAGAUGAACUUGCACUAAAAUGCCGGUCAGAGCUGGAAAAGUUACAUUCCAUUACCAGAGAGCAGAUAUCUGCGGUUGAAGAAGAGUCCAGGGGCCAAGCAACAUCA